rnacentral:rRNA from 1 species
AUUGAACGCUGGCGGCAGGCCUAACACAUGCAAGUCGAACGAGUGGCGGACGGGUGAGUAAUGUCUGUGAAACUGCCUGAUGGAGGGGGACAACUACUGGAAACGGCAGCUAACACCGCAUACAAUCGGAUGUGCCCAGAUGGGAUUAGGUAGUGGGUGGGGUAACGGCUAACCUAGGCGACGAUCCCUAGCUGGACUGAGAGGAUGACCAGCCACACGGGAGCGGGGACGCGGUCCAGGUUCCUACGGGAGGCAGCAGUGGAGAAUAUUGCGCAGUGGGCGAAAGCCUGAUGCAGCCAUGCCGCGUGUGUGAAGAAGGCCUUCGGGUUGUAAAGUACUUUCAGCGGGGAGGCGUUACCCGCAGAAGAAGCACCGGCUAACUCCGUGCCAGCAGCCGCGGUAAUUC